GACGAACGCUGGCGGCGUGCUUAACACAUGCAAGUCGAGCGAUGAAGCUCCUUCGGGAGUGGAUUAGCGGCGGACGGGUGAGUAACACGUGGGUAACCUGCCUCAUAGAGGGGAAUAGCCUUCCGAAAGGAAGAUUAAUACCGCAUAAGAUUGUAGUUCCGCAUGGAACAGCAAUUAAAGGAGUAAUCCGCUAUGAGAUGGGCCCGCGUCGCAUUAGCUAGUUGGUGAGGUAACGGCUCACCAAGGCGACGAUGCGUAGCCGACCUGAGAGGGUGAACGGCCACAUUGGGACUGAGACACGGCCCAGACUCCUACGGGAGGCAGCAGUGGGGAAUAUUGCACAAUGGGGGAAACCCUGAUGCAGCAACGCCGCGUGAGUGAUGACGGUCUUCGGAUUGUAAAACUCUGUCUUUGGGGACGAUAAUGACGGUACCCAAGGAGGAAGCCACGGCUAACUACGUGCCAGCAGCCGCCGUAAUAC
rnacentral:rRNA from 1 species